AGUGUUAUCCGGAAUCACUGGGCGUAAAGCGUCUGUAGGUUGUUUAAUAAGUCAACUGUUAAAUCUUGAAGCUCAACUUCAAAACUGCAGUCGAAACUGUUAGACUAGAGUAUAGUAGAGGUAAAGGGAAUUUCCAGUGGAGCGGUGAAAUGCGUAGAUAUUGGAAAGAACACCAAUGGCGAAGGCACUUUACUGGGCUAUUACUGACACUCAGAGACGAAAGCUAGGGUAGCAAAUGGGAUUAGAUACCCCAGUAGUCCUAGCUGUAAACAAUGGAUACUAGGUGUUGAACAGAACGACUGUGCAGUACUAAAGCUAACGCGUUAAGUAUCCCGCCUGGAAAGUAUGCUCGCAAGGGUGAAAUUCAAAGGAAUUGACGGGGGCCCGCACAAGCGGUGGAGCAUGUGUUUAAUUCGAUGCAACGCGAAGAACCUUACCAGGGUUUGACAUGAUAUGAAUUUUUUUGAAAAAAGAAAGUGCCUUUUGGAACAUAUACACAGGUGGUGCAUGGCUGUCGUCAGCUCGUGUCGUGAGAUGUUGGGUUAAGUCCCACAACGAGCGCAACCCUUGUUUUUAGUUGCCUUCGGGAACUCUAAAAAGACUGCCGGUUAUAAACCGGAGGAAGGCGGGGAUGACGUCAAGUCAGCAUGCCCCUUACACCCUGGGCUACACACGUGCUACAAUGGGCGAGACAAUGAGCUGCAAACUUGCGAAAGUUAGCUAAUCUAUAAACUCGUUCUUAGUU
rnacentral:rRNA from 1 species